rnacentral:rRNA from 1 species
UCUGAGUGCUUGCACUUGGAUGGACUGAGUGGCGGACGGGUGAGUAACGCGUGGGUAACCUGCCUUAUACAGGGGGAUAACAGUUGGAAACGACUGCUAAUACCGCAUAAGCGCACGGUAUCGCAUGAUACAGUGUGAAAAACUCCGGUGGUAUAAGAUGGACCCGCGUCUGAUUAGCCAGUUGGCGGGGUAACGGCCCACCAAAGCGACGAUCAGUAGCCGGCCUGAGAGGGUGAACGGCCACAUUGGGACUGAGACACGGCCCAAACUCC